rnacentral:rRNA from 1 species
CAGCAGCCGCGGUAAAACAGAGGGUGCAAGCGUUAAUCGGAAUUACUGGGCGUAAAGCGCGCGUAGGUGGUUUGUUAAGUUGGAUGUGAAAGCCCCGGGCUCAACCUGGGAACUGCAUCCAAAACUGGCAAGCUAGAGUACGGUAGAGGGUGGUGGAAUUUCCUGUGUAGCGGUGAAAUGCGUAGAUAUAGGAAGGAACACCAGUGGCGAAGGCGACCACCUGGACUGAUACUGACACUGAGGUGCGAAAGCGUGGGGAGCAAACAGGAUUAGAUACCCGAGUAGUCCCUGUCUCUUAUAC